rnacentral:rRNA from 1 species
UACGUAGGGGGCGAGCGUUGUCCGAAGUUACUGGGCGUAAAGAGCGCGUAGGCGGUUUUUUAAGUCUGGUGUGAAAGGUUCAGGGCUCAACCCGAACAGUGCACUGGAUACUGGGAGACUUGAGUGCGGGAGAGGAGAGUGGAAUUCCUGGUGUAGCGGUGAAAUGCGUAGAUAUCUGGAGGAACACCGGUGGCGAAGGCGGCGUCCUGGACCAACACUGACACUGAUGAGCGAAAGCCAGGGGAGCAAACGGG